rnacentral:rRNA from 1 species
UACAGAGGGGGCAAGCGUUGUUCGGAAUUACUGGGCGUAAAGGGCGCGUAGGCGGCCUUCUAAGUCGGACGUGAAAUCCCCGGGCUCAACCCGGGAACUGCGUCCGAUACUGGAAGGCUUGAAUCCGGGAGAGGGAUGCGGAAUUCCAGGUGUAGCGGUGAAAUGCGUAGAUAUCUGGAGGAACACCGGUGGCGAAGGCGGCAUCCUGGACCGGCAUUGACGCUGAGGCGCGAAAGCUAGGGGAGCAAACGGG